rnacentral:rRNA from 1 species
GACGAACGCUGGCGGCGUGCUUAACACAUGCAAGUCGAACGGACAGACCCUGAUUUUGCUGGUUGCACGAGUGGCGAACGCGUGUGUAUCACGUGAGUAUCCUGUCCUUGUCUUUCGGGUAACUUCUCGGGACUGCGGCUCUUAUACGAUAGGAUCUACUGCACCAUGUUGGUCAUUGGAAAAAUUCGGCGGUAGGGGCUGGACUCGCGGCUUCUCAGCUUGUUUGUGGGGUAGUGGCUUACCAAGGCUUUGACGGGUAGCCGGCAUGAGAGGGUGACCGGCCACAUUGGGACUGAGAUACGGCGCAGACGCCUACGGGAGGCAGCAGGGGGGAAUAUUGCGCAAUGGGCGGAAGCCUGAGGCGGCAACGCUGGGUGCGGGAUGACGGCCUUCGGGUUGUAAACCGCUUUCGCCUGUGACGAAGAGUGAGUGACGGUAAUGGGUAAAGAAGCACCGGCUAACUACGUG